GUCAUAAGUAUCCCGAAGAACAGGAGUUCUUUAGGUAUACUCCUCGCGGAAAACCUGUCAAACAGGUCUUCCCUUUGGAAGGCAUUAACGUUGACUUACAUAAGUCUGAAGGCGGAACUGUAUUGAUUAGUAGUAUUAAUAUGAGAACCGGCGGUAACUACAAGUGCGAGGUUAGCGUCGAGGGAACCUUUCAGACGGUGGCCGCAGAAAAGCUAAUGACUGUCGACCCUAACAGAGCCAUGUCCUUAGUAUCGAAGCAAAUGUUGGACACAAAUAAAUUAUUGGUAAUCUUUGUGUGGAU